CCUACGGGAGGCAGCAGUGAGGAAUAUUGGUCAAUGGACGCAAGUCUGAACCAGCCAUGCCGCGUGCAGGAAGACGGCCCUAUGAGUUGUAAACUGCUUUUGUACGGGGGUAAACGCAGAUACGCGUAUCUGUUUGAAAGUAUCGUACGAACAAGGAUCGGCUAACUACGUGCCAGCAGCCGCGGUAAUACGGAGGAUUCAAGCGUUAUCCGGAUUUAUUGGGUUUAAAGGGUGCGUAGGCGGUCGGAUAAGUUAGAUGUGAAAUCCCUAGGCUCAACUUCGGAAUUGCAUCUGAUACUGGUCGGCUAGAGUGUAGUAGCGGUAGGCGGAAUGUAUGGUGGAGCGGUGAAAUGCUUAGAGAUCAUGCAGAACACCGAUUGCGAAGGCAGCCUACCGGGCUACUACUGACGCUGAGGCACGAAAGCGUGGGGAGCAAACAGGAUUAGAUACCCGAGUAGUC
rnacentral:rRNA from 1 species